UAUUGGUACUUUGGCAAAGUAUUGGGAGGUCUAUUUCACUUAGGGUGUGUUUGGUUUGAGUAAAACUAUUAGAAAAAAAAAUUCGGUGAAAAAAAAUUUUUAUUUGAAAAAAAGUUUUACGCCAUUUAGUGUUUGGUUUAUAGGAAAAGAAAAAUAGUUUUUCAUAAUAGUUGUUUGGAUGAAAGAAAAAAAAAAUAGAUGAAAAUCUAUUUUAUAUUUUUUUAUUAUAUAUAUUAUUAUUAUAUAAUAAUGAAUAUACUAUAUAUAUUAUUAUUAUAAUUUUUAUAUAUAGAUUAAAUAUAUUCAAAAUUAUAAUAAAUAAAAUACAUAAUAUAUAAGAGUUAUAUAUUUAAAAAUAUUAAUAAAUAAUUACAAAUUUAUAAAUAAAAUAUUAUAUAAUAAUAUUUCUAUAUAAAAAUAAAUGAAUAUA
rnacentral:lncRNA from 1 species